rnacentral:rRNA from 1 species
AGGGAAGCAAAAUAGUGAUAUGGAGCAAAACCCUAAAAACGGUCUCAGUUCGGAUUGAAGGCUGAAAUUCGCCUUCAUGAAGCUGGAAUUGCUAGUAAUGGCAGGUCAGCAUACUGCCGUGAAUACGUUCCCGGGCCUUGUACACACCGCCCGUCACACCAUGAGAGUCGGGAACACCCGAAGUCCGUAGCCUAACCGCAAGGGGGGCGCGGCCGAAGGUGGGUUCGAUAAUUGGGGUGAAGUCGUAACAAGGUACC